UCCCGUUUAACACGGGCAGUCUCCCAUGAGUCCCCGACAUAACUCGCUGGCAACAUGGGACAGUGGUUGCGCUCGUUGCGGGACUUAACCCAACACCUCACGGCACGAGCUGACGACAGCCAUGCACCACCUGUGCAGGCUCCGAAGAGCGCCCGCUUUCACGGGUUUCACCCUGCAUGUCAAGCCCAGGUAAGGUUCUUCGCGUUGCAUCGAAUUAAGCAACAUGCUCCGCCGCUUGUGCGGGGCCCCGUCAAUUCCUUUGAGUUUUAGCCUUGCGGCCGUACUCCCCAGGCGGGGCACUUAAUGCGUUAGCUUCGGCACGGAGGGAGUCGACACCCCCCACACCUAGUGCCCAUCGUUUACAGCGUGGACUAC
rnacentral:misc_RNA from 1 species